rnacentral:rRNA from 1 species
AUUGAACGCUGGCGGCAGGCCUAACACAUGCAAGUCGAACGAGUGGCGGACGGGUGAGUAAUGUAUGGGAAACUGCCUGAUGGAGGGGGAUAACUACAGGAAACGGUAGCUAAAACCGCAUACCAUCAGAUGUGCCCAGAUGGGAUUAGAUAGUUGGUGGGGUAACGGCUAACCAAGGCGACGAUCUCUAGCUGGUCUGAGAGGAUGACCGGCCACACUGGGACUGAGACACGGUCCAGACUCCGACGUGAGGAAGCAGUGGGGAAUAUUGCACAAUGGGCGCAAGCCUGAUGCAGCCAUGCCGCGUGUAUGAAGAAGGCCUUCGGGUUGUAAAGUUCUUUCAGCGGGGAGGCGUUACCCGCAGAAGAAGCACCGGCUAACUCCGUGCCAGCAGCCGCGGUGAUUC